ACAUUCAAAAGAAAACAUCUCUAUAUCCAUAAUGAAAUAUGUUUAAUUUGUCGAAGUCACUGGAAUUCUAGUGUUUUGAGAUCGUGAACCUCGCGAGAUUAACCUGAAAUUCGUUAGAAAUGAAAUCUCGACUAAUUAGGAAGAACUAAAAAUUUUCUUAUUUUUAUAUUUUAUUUAUUUAAUUAUACUAUUUUCUAUAUAUAUGUAUAUAAUAAACUAGAGAAAUAACCCGCGCUUCGCUGCGGUUCACGGGAAAAAUAUAUAUCGUUUGCUUUGUAUUUUGAAUACGAAUUGAUAUU
rnacentral:lncRNA from 1 species